rnacentral:rRNA from 1 species
CCGCUGACGACCGGCGCACGGGUGCGUAACGCGUAUGCAACCUGCCUUCUACAGGGGGAUAGUCAAUAGAAAUGUUGAAUAAUACCCCAUACGAUCUUUGAAUAGCAUUAUUUAAAGAAGAAAGCUCCGGCGGUAGAAGAUGGGCAUGCGUCCUAUUAGUUAGUUGGUAAGGUAACGGCUUACCAAGACUUCGAUAGGUAGGGGUCCUGAGAGGGAGACCCCCCACACUGGUACUGAGACACGGACCAGACUCCUACGGGAGGCAGCAGUGAGGAAUAUUGGACAAUGGAGGCAACUCUGAUCCAGCCAUGCCGCGUGCAGGAAGACUGCCCUAUGGGUUGUAAACUGCUUUUAUACAGGAAGAAAUAUACCUACGUGUAGGUAUUUGACGGUACUGUACGAAUAAGGAUCGGCUAACUCCGUGCCAGCAGCCGCGGUAAUACGGAGGAUCCAAGCGUUAUCCGGAAUCAUUGGGUUUAAAGGGUCCGUAGGCGGUCUUUUAAGUCAGAGGUGAAAUCCUACAGCUCAACUGUA